rnacentral:rRNA from 1 species
AGAGUUUGAUCCUGGCUCAGAUUGAACGCUGGCGGAAUGCUUUACACAUGCAAGUCGAACGGCAGCACGGGGGCAACCCUGGUGGCGAGUGGCGAACGGGUGAGUAAUACAUCGGAACGUGCCCAGUCGUGGGGGAUAACGCAGCGAAAGCUGUGCUAAUACCGCAUACGAUCUACGGAUGAAAGCGGGGGACUCGCAAGGGCCUCGCGCGAUUGGAGCGGCCGAUGGCAGAUUAGGUAGUUGGUGGGGUAAAGGCUCACCAAGCCUGCGAUCUGUAGCUGGUCUGAGAGGACGACCAGCCACACUGGGACUGAGACACGGCCCAGACUCCUACGGGAGGCAGCAGUGGGGAAUUUUGGACAAUGGGCGCAAGCCUGAUCCAGCCAUUCCGCGUGCAGGAUGAAGGCCUUCGGU